rnacentral:lncRNA from 1 species
AUGUUCCGUCAGCGUGACCUGCUUCUAAAUUUACUCACCUUGUGCAGCCACGUGCUGGGGCGUCCGCGCGAGUCGCAGCGGCUGGAAAUAGCUCCCGGGCAUGUGACGGCCGGAGCCGGGAGCUGGUGCUCCCUGCAAAGUCAUGGGACAUCUUCUUCCGCAACGCCAACGCCGGAGCUGCUCCAGGCACCGCUUACCAAAGCCCCCCCCCCCACUGAGCACCAGCCUUUCUGCACUGUCACAAGCACAGUUCCUGGUUCAAGCACAGCCCAACGUAGACAAACUGGUGGAAGACCACCUCGCAGUGCAAUCUCUCAUCAGGGCAUACCAGUGGGAGAAGGCUGCGGCGCCACCGGACUGAAGCUCAGACCAACGCUGCCAAAAUCAACGUCUCGGGAGAAGCAAGUUCUGAGCAGAAAGGAAACAUCCGCUGGCUGAAGGAGCAGCGUGUGCACAAAUGCCAUGGCCAGUGUUUUACUCGGGAGGGCGCGGAGCUGUGUCUCUCUGCCUGUCGUUCUUUCACCUUUGGUUGCAGCCUGGUUUGCCCAGAGUGAGCUUCGCUGGGGACUGCGGUGGGAAGUUCCCAAACCCAGCCACAGUGGAGGUGACCUUAGCUCUGCCAUGCCCCGUGUCACCUGCUGCUGUAAAGAAGCACUCGCUGCAGGUCAGGAUCCUGCUCAGGUAUCGGAAAAACCCAAGGUACUGGGCCACAGGUUAAGUCCAAAGGUCUGCCCAGCCUGCGCCCUGAUGGUCCAAAGAAAGUGCCCCAGCCCGGCUCUCCUCCGCACCCAAGUCCUGCUGGGGCAUUGCUCUGCUUUUCUUGGGCACGGUGCAGCCAGGGCUUGUUUGUGAGCACCUGCACCGUGCCUUCUGGCCGGGAUUGUGGGAGGUGACUGCCCUGCUGGCUUUGAACCCCAGGCGAGUGGUUUCUAAGCGCCGUGCGUCGCCUGCUGGCUCAGCAAGCAGGUGGCUGCUGCGAUAAAUCAAGCAGUGCACGGUGUGGGCUGGAGGCAGCGACUUCCGACCAGCAAUUUGAACCCCAAAUCCUCAAUCUCUUCUGCAUUCCCUCCGCUCCUCAGUCUCUGAAAUGGCGGUGCUGGGAGGUGGUUGCUCUUGGCCUUUUUUUUUCUAACCCUUGUUGAGGAAUGUGCCUCCGGUUCUGCACCGGUGCCACUGCACGGCUGCAGCCAUCGUGGCCGUGAGCUGCCGUGGUUGCUCUGGAGGGGGAGUUGAGCGUGGUGUGGGGAGGUAGGCGAGGGCAGAAGGCCCUGCCGGUGCUGUGUCACCUCCUGAAACACCAGGCAGUUAAUUUCUGAAACCGGAUCGAGCUGGAGUGUCCGUGCAGUUAGAGGUGAGCCGUGCCCCUGCUCUGCCGUAGCUCGUGGUAGCACCAGCGCUGGCUUGUUCCUUAAUUGUAGCCGUGCUUACGUGUCCAAUUCAUCAUUUCCUUUGAAAUAACUGGUGUGGUCUUGUUCCGAGCUGGGGAAAACAAUCUGCCUUUGUGUCCCUGUCACGAGGGCGGCCGUGCCACCCACCUGGCGGGACCUCCGCCGCUGGCUGCUCCCACGGCUGCCGACGAAGCUCCGUGUGGCAGCGCCCUGAAAAAAAUGAAAAAAAGCGUGGCUCCUGCUGGGAAAAGGCCUCUUCCUCGUUCCCACAAGAAUUUGGGGGUUCGCUGCGUCCUGCUGAGCAGAUCUCUGGACUGGUCACCGAAUGCUCCUUGCCUCGCCCCUGCUCACCAGCCCUGCUCCCAGCCAGGGCACCCAGCCCCAGGCGUCUGCCCCAUGGACGUGGGAGCAGCACAGUGAGCUCGUGUCCUGCCCCUAAGCCUCGGGAUAGUCCUCAUGCUCUGCUGCAAGUCAGAUGAGCAAAUAAACGCAUCUGGGACAAAGGGGGCCCCCGAGCA